rnacentral:rRNA from 1 species
AUUGAACGCUGGCGGCAGGCCUAACACAUGCAAGUCGAACGAGUGGCGGACGGGUGAGUAAUGUCUGGGAAACUGCCUGAUGGAGGGGGAUAACUACUGGAAACGGUAGCUAAUACCGCAUACCAUCGGAUGUGCCCAGAUGGGAUUAGCUAGUAGGUGGGGUAAAGGCUCCACUAGGCGACGAUCCCUAGCUGGUCUCAGAUGAUGACCAGCCACACGGGAACUGUGACACGGUCCAGACGCCUACGGGAGGCAGCAGUGGGGAAUAUUGCACAAGGGUGGCAAGCCUGAUGCAGCCAUGCCGCGUGUAUGAAGAAGGCCUUAGGGUUGUAAAGUACUUUCAGUGGGGAGGCGUUACCCGCAGAAGAAGCACCGGCUAACUCCGUGCCAGCAGCCGCGGUAAUUC